AUGGCUAAAAUUGUCUCAAUUAUAAUUCUUAUCAAUCUUAAAGUAUCUGCAGUCAUCUCUUCCCUCAACAUCCAGCAAUUACCACAACAUCUACUAAUAACACCUAAGCAGAGUGAAGCGAAGCUCAGCUGCCGGCAUGGUGAUACCAGCUAUCCCUACAUGUACUGGUAUCAACAAAAAGCAGUCGGUGACUCCAUUGAGCUCAUUGGAAUGCUUGUGUCUCAAAACCCUACUCCUGAGGAGAAGUUUAAAACACGAUUCAACAUUUCAGGACACUCCACAGGGGAUGCGUUUCUGCUUAUAUCCAGUGUAACUCCUGAGGACAGUGCAGUAUAUUUCUGUGCUGCUAGUAACCACAGUCACACACCUUCCCUUUCUGUUUAA